rnacentral:rRNA from 1 species
GACGAACCGUGCGAACGUUGUUCGGAAUCACUGGGCUUAAAGGGCGCGUAGGCGGGUUGUCAAGUCCGGGGUGAAAGCCCCCAGCUCAACUGGGGAAGUGCCUUGGAUACUGGGAACCUCGAGGGAGGUAGGGGCGUGCGGAACUUCCGGUGGAGCGGUGAAAUGCGUAGAUAUCGGAAGGAACACCGGUGGCGAAGGCAGCUCUCUGGGACGGUACUGACGCUGAGACGCGAAAGCGUGGGGAGCGAACAGG